rnacentral:rRNA from 1 species
GACAGAGGUGCCGAGCGUUAGGCGGAAUCACUGGGCUUAAAGCGUGUGUAGGCGGGUCGUUAAGUGCCUUGUGAAAUCCCAUGGCUCACCCAUGGAACUGCUUGGCAUACUGGCGAUCUUGAGCCACUUAGGGGCAACCGGAACAAACGGUGGAGCGGUGAAAUGCGUAGAUAUCAGGAGGAACACCGGUGGCGAAGGCGGCAUUCUGGACCAUUACUGACGCUGAGGAGCGAAAGCCAGGGGAGCAAACGGG